rnacentral:sRNA from 1 species
CAUGGUUCUUGUCCGGUCUCCUAAGAGCAAAGAUGAUCAUGGCUCUGUCUAUGCCGUUCUCAUUAUGUCCUUUAACUUCUCCCAGGAUCAAGUAUAUCAGGUCCCCUGUGAAUUUGCGAUGUAUGAUACUAACAUUCCUG